UGCUGAGGGAUAGAGCCUGAGCCUGGUGGA
rnacentral:piRNA from 1 species